GGGGGGCGGACUGGAAGGUGUCGGAAGCAUUAGCAGUAAGAAAACAUGUCAACAGAAUAAAAUAUUAACCAAUGACAGAAAGGCUCGGGAAAUCCCACCCCCAGCUCGGAGCCAAAGAGCGGGUCAGCCCUCCGUCCGCGGCCGGGGGAGAGAGCACCGCGCCCGGCCUGCGCUUCAUCACUCACUCGGGGGGCUUUGGACCACGUCCGGGGCGGCACAUGUGCACCACGAGCCACCCGCUUCACACACCACUUUAAAAAUAUCUAACUUUUGUCUAAUUUUUAUCCCAUGCGUCCGGAUGUGCUUUGUUCCGUGUGCAUUCAUGGCAGAAUUAAUAUGGGCAAUAAAAGUGAAAUGAAUGAAAAGAAAAACAGAUGCGCCGGUGUCUUUAAGGAAUUUAAUUCCGAGUGCGGCAUUUGAAAAGCCCUAGAAUAAAUUCAAUUAUGCACGAAAUAUUUUUCUACUCCACCCUAUUCCAGUGUUUAUAUUUAAUUCUGGGUAAUUGCUGGUGCUCUGCUGGGGUUCUUUGUGCUCUCAAACUGGGGGUCUAAUUCCUCAUUCCUCGUGACAUGAUACCGGACUCUUUAUUUGAACUGUGCGCUAAAGCUCUCCGUCCGGGUGCCGAGGCGAGGGCGGCGAGGGCGGCGAGGGCAGCGAGCGACACGCCGGACGCCGGACGCAGGACGCCGGGACGCCGACAGCCGAAGCAGCGCCGAGCAGCGCCGAGCAGCGCCCGAUGGAUGGCGGAGAAGAGGAACCGGCUGAGCGCCUUUCCACGCCACGAGUGGAGCGGACGUUCCGGCCCGGAGGGAACCGGGCCCGCUGCUCCUCCUCCACGUGGACAUCACCCACGGACUCGCUCCCGCUUUGAUCAGCGAGGCCCCUCGCGCUCGGCCGCUUCGGCGGGCAGCAGAGAGAAGAUGAGGUUCUGUUUGCGUAUGAGGCCAUCGGUGGACGAACCCCCCGCGCGGGUCCAUGUCUAAGAGUGGCUGCGGUGGGCGCAACGCUCUCCACGACGGAGAGACCGGAGCGCCGAGAUCCCUGGCGGGGGCUGUGGCUGGUCUCCUCGUCCAGGGAGACUCACUCGGUGAUCCAGCGGCCGAAGGGCGCGUGCUUCAUAUGCUUCGAGC
rnacentral:lncRNA from 1 species